rnacentral:sRNA from 1 species
UAUUAUAUUUUACUUUAUAAGUGUGUCAUAAUUUGAACUUCCCAUAAAGGAAUUUGUUAUGAACUAAAGCAGAUCCAGUAUUUUCAUAUGUUCUCUCAACAUCUCUUAUAGAAAAAUCCUUUUUUUUCACUAAUUUUUAAGAUAGUCUUCUUCCUGUGGUACUACUUGUAUGAUUGGGGACUGUCUUUUGAGAAGCUCCUUCACCCACUGAGGAUAUCUUGAUAUCCUUAGCACAUUUGAACUGUUUGUAGACUCAGGUCGUUAGUUUGUAGAUGCACACCUGUAGCCUAGAGGCUGGGGUGGAACUGAAUCUAUAACGGAGUCUGGCGGUCGUUUGCAUUGUACACUAUUGGGUGUUAGGAGCUGCAGACACGGAAUAGCUCGCCACUCAUCAAAUCCCCUUUCACUUUCUCUCAGGGAGAUCGUACAACUUCCGGUCCCGGAAGGGAGGAAACUGUUUGAUCUUCCAUCAGCAAGAACAUGGCAGAACCCAGUGUGUCCCCUGGGAGUUCCUCAGAGACUCAACUGUGUUCACAACCAGUCAGUGAGGCCACUGAUGAAGACCUAACUACAGGCCGGCUGGUGGUGCCCACAUGCACCCCCAAUGUCUGUGUGCUACUGAGGAUUCUGGGGCCCAAGCCAUUUGCAGGCCGGGUAAGUGUGUUAAUCAGCCUUCUAUUGCUGUAACCAAACACUUGAAACAGCUUUAAAGAGGCAAAAGCCCAUUUGGACUCACAGUUUUGGAGUUUCUGCAGAAAUAGUGGACCCCAUUGUUAUGGGCCUGUGGUGAGGCAAUUGAGCAGCAGGGUAGGAAAAUGAAGGGGAAAGAGCAGCCUCAU